rnacentral:rRNA from 1 species
GACUCUUGGAAAUGGAUAUCUUGGCUCUCGCAUCGAUGAAGAACGUAGCAAAAUGCGAUACUUGGUGUGAAUUGCAGAAUCCCGUGAACCAUCGAGUCUUUGAACGCAAGAUGCGCUCCAAGCCUUCUGGCCGAGGGCACGUCUGCCUGGGUGUCA